AUUGAACGCUGGCGGCAGGCCUAACACAUGCAAGUCGAGCGGAUGAAGGGAGCUUGCUCCUGGAUUCAGCGGCGGACGGGUGAGUAAUGCCUAGGAAUCUGCCUGGUAGUGGGGGAUAACGUCCGGAAACGGGCGCUAAUACCGCAUACGUCCUGAGGUAGAAAGUGGGGGAUCUUCGGACCUCACGCUAUCAGAUGAGCCUAGGUCGGAUUAGCUAGUUGGUUGGGUAAAGGCCUACCAAGGCGACGAUCCGUAACUGGUCUGAGAGGAUGAUCAGUCACACUGGAACUGAGACACGGUCCAGACUCCUACGGGAGGCAGCAGUGGGGAAUAUUGGACAAUGGGCGAAAGCCUGAUCCAGCAAUGCCGCGUGUGUGAAGAAGGUCUUCGGAUUGUAAAGCACUUUAAGUUGGGAGGAAGGGCAGUAAGUUAAUACCUUGCUGUUUUGACGUUACCAACAGAAUAAGCACCGGCUAACUUCGUG
rnacentral:rRNA from 1 species